rnacentral:lncRNA from 1 species
UCAUAACAAGUACAUGUGUUAUUCUUUUCCUAAACUAUAUGACAUGCUUAUCAUACAUAUGCAUUAACAUACUUUUCAAUCAAUUUAAAUAUCAUAAUGCUAUCAUAUAAAAGCAUAAAAUAAAUUGACUUUGACCAACCAAAGUUUUCAUGAUUUCAUCCUCGAAAAAUAAAUAAAAAUUAAAUUUACAUUUAUUACCCCAAAGCAUUCUUUGGGUCUUCUAGGUGAAAGCCAAACAUCUUGGUUUAAGGAUUUCCAAAACCCAAAAAUAUGAAAAAAGUUCACCAAAGGGGUCUACGUUGAACCUUCGUUACCACCUCGUGUCACUGUUGUCACCAUUGUCAACGUCACUGUUGACGUCAUCAUCGCCACCAUCAAUUAACCUAUUGCUGACCACCACCUGCCGCUGCCAACUUUCGUCGAUCGGUUCACUACCUGUCUUUUACCAGUUGGUUGGGUCAAGUUUUCCUUGUCUCAAUCAGCUUUGGAUACGUCUCAGUUCUCUGGGUUUCACUGAAAAAUUUAGGUUACAAAAAAACCUAAGUCUAUUCCCACUCACAUGAAUUAUUCUAAAUAAAUAAAAUAAAACCUAAAUGGAAAUGAUAGUUCAUGAUCUAAUUACAUAUCCCAAAAUUUAUUAAAACCUAAAAUUACACAUAAUCUAAUUUUUAGGAAUCACAACUUUGGCAAAAUUACUUUAUCAUAUAUAAUAAAAUAUAAAUACAUUCAUUUACAUAUAUAACCCAAAACAUGUACAUAAUUAGAAGAAUGCCACAUCUUAUCAAAAUUAACCAAACAUAAAGAAUAGAGAGAAAAUUCGAUAUCAGAUUAUACUAUAAACAUAGCACAACCUGGCUCUGAUACCAAUUAUUGAAAAAAUUAAUUGAGAAUAUCAUUUUUAUAGUUAUAACAGAAGAUUUAAAAAAUUUCAAAAUCAAGCCCUUCUAUAAUAUUUAUAAUAAUAGACUUUAAUCGAAUAAUGCUUGUGUUUUAUGUGAGAUGGGAACAAGUCAAUCUUGGCUUUCAACUGAACGACCUCCGUUAUCUUCGUAUCCUGAAUUGCUUUGAGUGUGGGCUCUAGCAACAUGAACCAAAAUCAUAGAAAAUACAUGAUAUAAUUACUUUUAGUAGGAAAGUAAUUCCUCUCAAUAGAAAUCGACAAAUAUCAUAAUUCCUAGAAAAUAUAAUUUAGUUUUAGAUAAUAAAUUCCCACUAUUUUCUAACAAAAUAACGUUGUAUCAAAACUUCUAUUUUUAAGUGAAUCUGUGAAUUAUAUUUAUAAGAAGAGGUAUGAGAAUUUUGGUUGAAUAAGUUUUUGUAAAAUAAUAUUAUUUAAAUACAAAACACUCUCAUAGUCUAACUAAGAGAGAGGGUGGUGGCACACCCUCUUAAUUUCCCUUAUGGUUGUUGUCCUUCAUAUUUUAUGUGAAGCAGAUUGGGCUUCUCAUGUAUUGAGUUCAAUUAUAUGUCUUUUUGAAACUUUUGACUCAACACAUUAUAAUUUAAUCCAACCCAAUCAUUGUUUUCUAUUUCUCAAAAUAAAUAUUAUUUAUUCAAUUAAUUUAGUUAAUUUAAUUAACUAAAUUAAUUUCUCAAUUAAAUAAUUUUCCAACCCAAUUCUAAUUUCAUUAAAGUCAUAACAACUUUACCUUAAAAUAAUCUAUGAGGAAGUAUAUUUAAUUUCCUUACUCAACAAGUUCAUAAUGACUAAUUAAUUUAAUUUUAUUUUCAAACUCUAAUUAUUUAAUUAAUAAUAAUUUGAAAACCUUAAAUUAGUUCUCAAGUCAUUUUUGUACUUAGCGAGAAAACAUAUUUAUUUGUGAAUGUAACCCAUUUCUCUUACUUCAUCAUUUCCAUUCUUUUUUGUUCAUUUCUAUAAAUUUAGUUCUACAUGCAAUUUAUUUCUAGUUUUAAUGAGCUAACGAAUGGACCGAUUGAACAUAUAUAAUUAGGGAUAAAAUAAUUUAUAAUUAACUUCCAACUUUUCACCUAUUAAUUAUAAACUUAUUAGUCACAAACUCAUUCCACUAUAGUAUCAUGAUUGAGCUCUCCCUAAUUAUAUACCAUUACGAAAGCUACUUAAUAAGUGUUCGUCCAAUGACCUUGUCAUAAGUGUGUUACUCUCAUAGGAUAUCCUUAACCUCUUUGAUAAAUCCAUUCUCCUAAUAUGAUCCAAUUUUAUUUUAUGGUAACUAUUACAUCUUUCUGCAUAAAAAAAUAUUAUAAAAUAGUAAUUAAGUCAUUUAUCACAAAGACAAAUGACUUGUGGCCACAUUUACUUUUCAUCUAUCAUGUAAUGCCGAUGAUAGGAUAUCAUUUUCCUUUUAGUUGGGCUAUGAAUUCCACUAUUGUGGAAUGAUGCUACAUAUUGUAGAAGUCGUAUACCCAACGCACUAACUUUCCAUUCCUUUUCUAUUUGAACUUGAACUUUUACUUAUAUCAAAGUAUAUGAGUCAUGCAUACAUAACCCAUCAUCCACUCAGAAUUAGGGUAUACCACACUAUGUACAUCACAAGUGAAUAAAUCCAUAAACGAAUCUAGGAUUUGUUCUACUUAUGUUCUGCUCAAUGUACUAUUAGUCUAGUCAGUCACAUCUAUGUCUCUAUCUUUUGGGAGUCAUCCAUUCUGAUGCUCAAGAUAAAACAUCUCCUCAAUUUGGACUUGAUAAAUGACAUAUUAGUCUUUCAAUGGGUUUGCUCAUUUCUAAUUAGACAAAUGACAUGUUUAGGUUAUUUACUAAUACAAGCUGUCUUUUCGUAUUAUGAUCCAACCACAUAAUACUGUUUAGUACUAGUUAAACAUUAGAUAACCAGUGGGCCAAUAUUUGCUUCCAUUUUAUUUUGUGUGCAAAAACCGUUAAGGACAAUAUACAAGAAGUAAUUUCAUUGAUAACAUUUGAUUCUUCAACACCAUUAUCAGCAAUUUAAGGAGUCUUAGAAGGAAGCUUAAAUUUACCAAAUACUCUCUCAUUAUCCCUCUAAGCCUUCCACUCAAAACCACAAGACCAUAAUAUGUCAAAAGAUAUGGGGAUUCUAUAGGUGAAAAUAAGCUAAACAUCCCUCAAAUUGAAAGGACCAUAAGUUGCUUGAAUGCUAACUACAGUUACAUUCUAAAUAAACCCAACAUUGUAAAUUAACCCCUUUGCAAAUCACCAUGCCCCUCAUCAAAGGAAGGAGAAAUGGAUGUGAGGUUGGCAACUCUAAAGAAGAAUCCUCUCGAGGUCUCUUACUAAAACUAACUUUAAGUUUUUUUAUAAGUAGGGUUACCAAAAUGUGAGCCACUCUUUAAAAAACAAAAAAGAAAAAAACAUCAAUAUUGAAACCAAGUUCUGAAACAUUGCAAUAAUACAAAUCCACCAGGAUCUAUUGACCACAAGGAUUUUGCAAACCCCCUUUAUUAUCAAGAAGAUACCAACUCGAAUAUGAAACAAAAGGGUUCACUUAUACAAUACUAAAACCCCUUACAUUCACCAUUUUAGGUUCAUUUGUAGGAAUUCCAAUAUGUUUGUCCAUGUUACUAUCCAAUAUGUCAUUUAACGAAUCCCCUCCAUUCACAAAACCAAUCAAAGGCUCUUUUUUAUGUUUCAUCCUCACAUAGUGUUUAACAUAUAAAAAAAUGUAAUCUUUAGGUUCAAGAAGCUCUUAUUAUUACUUUUCCUAGCUUGCCUUGAUCUUUUAUCGACCAUCCAACCCUUGUCCAAGUGAGCCAUACAAGCCAACCUUAUUAUUUUUGAAACUUUUUCCCUUAAAACAUUAUAACUAAAAGUUGUUCAGAGUCAACAAUUCAUUGAUAUUCAAGGGGUUGCUAGCCUUCUUAUGAUGAUAAUAUCCUCAAGCAGUGCCACCCUUUAUAUUGGGCACAAACACAUUGCUUUAAUGAAGACAUGGUCCAUUUUAUGAGAAAUAGGAAUCCAUUUAUUUACUUUAUGUUAGGCACAAACACAUAGCUUUAAUGAAGACAUGGUCCAUUUUUUGAGAAAUACGAAUCCAUCAAUUUACUUUCUAUGUAGAUGCAUUUACAUUUUUCCAAAUGCAGAUAAUUUUUCUAAAAAUAUACCAACAUACUUAUAUAAUAAUGCAUCAUAAAACAAAACAUCAUUAUGCUCUUACUACUGUCUAAGUAUUGAGUGAGUGCAAAUCCUUGAAAGUACUAAGAUAGGCAACUCAUGCCUCAUCUUACAAUCCAAGAAGAAAAGCUAGAAAAAUACACUUAGAGGCUCCUACUAAUUGACUAGGGGCAAUGCCAUAAUUUCCUAACACAAUGGUGAACAAAUAAUGCAAAGGGUGGAUAGAAACUUACAUCAAGGAUAUGAGGAGGUAGGAAGCCCUUCUCAUUCUUCAAGACAUCACUCAUUCAAUGGAUCCUAUCAAUACAACAAAAUGAUACUCGUAAUGAGGCAAUUUGAUUCCCUGAGGUUCCAAUAUUGCCAUCAUCUCCUCCUCCUCCUUAAUGGUAUAUUCCCACAAAUUGCCCUUCAUAGGGACAUCAAUUUUUUUAUAAACAAAAGUUUUAGAACAUGAGUCAAUGCCUACGGAGGGGUUAAUUCUCUAUCUUUUUUUUCCUCACUUUACGAGCCAUGACUACCCUAAAAACCAAAAACAUAACAGUACAAAACCACAAAACAAAGGUAACAAUGACAGAAAAGUCACUAUUUUAGAAAAUGUGGCAACAAAUUCCCAAACAAAAACAAUAAAAGAAGAAAAAAAAGAAACAAACUUACCCAAAUGGAACUCCUUCAAUAAAUCAUUACCAAAGCAAAGAAGAUUUAAAUGAAAAAAGCAAUAAAGUUUCCCUAAGUUCUACGAAAAGAUGAAAAACUUCAAAAAUUGAAGACAUCUAUUUAAAAAAUAAAAUGACAUUAGAAAAUUUAAUAGGCAAAAUAACUCAUUACCAAUCAUAGUGCAACACAUGGAAAAUGUUGUGAUCAACACAUCGUUCUAGUAUCUAAACAAAGUGUGACAAACGACUUGUUAAAUAAAUGCAAAAUCAUAUAAAAAAUGAAAUGACAGGGUCACAACAUCCGACGCAACUCGCAUGCCUUUAUAUGAAUCCUUAAGUGCCCAUUCAAUAAAAACUAAAACUUUUCCUAAGUACCAAAAGUCAAGGUCGGCAUAACUUUGCUUUUUCUAAAUCAUCACACAAAAAAAAAAUCUCAUCACUUUAUAACCAACCCUUUAAUUAGGGAGGGAAAUUGUUAUACCUAAACCACAUUGCCUCAACAAGAAUCAUCCAAGAAGGCUUUACCUUGUGCAAAAGUGAAUUUCCUUGAAUGAAUACUCAAACAAGAAGAGCUUGCCUAGGUAUAGGGUCACCCAACUCAAAAGCACAGUCACCUAGGCAAGAGCUUGUAUAACUAGAAAGCCACAUUACUCUCUAUGACUCUACCUUUACCUAGUAAGGUGCUCGUUCGACGAGGCAUAUGCUAGAUUGCUAACCACUUUAUAUAGAUCCCCCUCUAUCUACACAAAGGAGAACGACUUUUCUUCCCCAAGAAUAUUUUUCUUAAUCUCCAUUCCUAAAUAACUUGUGGUUCUCAACACUUGCGUAAAACCACUUAUAACCUUCUUCCAUAUAAAAAAUGAAGUUGAUUAUUCUUGUAAGAAGUGUGGUGAUUUGUUGAUAUAUUAGCUUAAAUAAUUUCUUUUCUUAAUAAUCUAAUUAUUCAUACCCCUCCUCAACCCAUAAAUAAGAAGAUAAUGCAUUUUAGUGCACUCGAAUCCACAUCCUCCCAUGUUGAUAAAAAUAUUCAUGCUAGUCAAACUAAAAUUGAAUGGACAAUAAUUUCUUAUAUAAUAAUCAUAAUUAUUAUAAAAUAUAGAGAAAUAGAGAGACUAAAGAACAAAGAAAAUAUGAAAAGCAAUAACUAUUAGAAUUUAAAAUCCAUCAAAAUUUUAUCUUGAUUAUAAUAGAUAUCCAGAUAUUCAUAACAAUAAUAUGUUUUUUAUAUUCAAUAAUAUUUUAAAUCUCAAAUGCCACCUCUACCGUAUAGAGGUCACACGUCGUUGGCAGCUGAAAUGACGGUCACCUGAAACACACCUAAGAUCAUACAUCCGUAUUAUCCUAAUAUUUCUCUAACUGAUUACCUCUUAUUACCAGUAUCUUCUUCCACAGACAAAAUAAAUAAUUCAAUUCAAUAAUGAUACGAAAGUAGAAAAUCACCCAUUCGCUCUUCCAAAAUUUCCACGCCUCUCCUUUUUCGCCGCCGUUGUUUGCUUAAAAGCUAAAGAAAAAAUCCACAGCACAAACUCAAUCCAAACUUUUUACUUCUUUUUUUGUUUAAUUAUGAUUUUUGGAUUUUUAGUGCUCUGAUUCUUCUUUCAUGUAAGAAAUAUAUAUACAUUCAGAAAAAAAAGAAAAAAAGAAAAAAAGAAAAGCAGAGUGAGAGAUGGAGAGUUACAGCGUCGAUGUGGCGGCGAUAGCAUACAAGCUGAAGGACACAACCAAUUGGUGGCGUGACAUUAACGGUUCACGGCUCUGGCAAGAUCGCAUUUUUCACAUUCUCGCCGCUCUUUACGGUCUCGUCGCCGCCGUUGCUCUCGUAUGCCUCUCAUCCCUUCUAUCUUUUUUCUUUCUCUAAUUAGAGCUUAGCUUGGUUUGAUUGUGUUUUAAUUAAUUAAUUAAUUUUAAAAACUAACCUCCUUAUUUGCUUUCUCUACCUUUUUAAUGCGAUAAGAAAAUUUUAUUUAAGAAAUCAAGUGGAAUUAAGAUUCUGUUUUAGUAUAUUUAUGGUCUUAACGUUGUUGUCGUUAAUUGAUAUUUUUAGG